rnacentral:rRNA from 1 species
UACGUAGGGUGCAAGCGUUAAUCGGAAUACUGGGCGUAAAGCGUGCGCAGGCGGUUUGGUAAGACAGAUGUGAAAUCCCCGGGCUUAACCUCGGGAAUUGCAUUUGGUGACUGCCCGGCUAGACGUGUGUCAGAGGGGGGUAGGAAUUCCACGUGUAGCAGUGAAAUGCGUAGAUAUGUGGAGGAAUACCGAUGGCGAAGGCAGCCCCCUGGGAUAACACUGACGCUCAUGCACGAAAGCGUGGGAGCAAACAGG